rnacentral:rRNA from 1 species
AUGGGGCGCAAGAAGAACGUCGCCAUCGACGACGACGAGUACUCCCUGCCGCAGGACGACGAGGCCGCGCCGCCGCCCGCCGCCGCCGCGGAGAAGCCACCGCCCAAGAAGGGCGGCAAGAAGGGGAAGAAGGGCGGCAAGUCCGCCGCGCACGACGACGACGACGACUACGAGCCCGCCCCACCGCCGCCCCCGCCGGCGGGGGAUGAGGAGGGGGACGACCCGAUCAACGUCGUCUUCGCCGGCAAGAAGAAGAAGAAGAAGGGCGGCGCCGGCGCGGGCGGGAUGAGCGCCUUCGACGCCCUCGCGGCCGCCGAGGACCAGGACCAGGACCAGGACGAGGCCCCCGCCUCCACCGCCGCAUCCGAGCUCGAGGCCGGUAAGUCUGAGGCCAGCGGCGAUCUCGACGACGUCGACCUCGAUUUCGACUUCAGCAAGUCCAAGAAGAAAAAGAAGAAGGGCAAGGGAGCUCGCCCGUCCGCCGAGGAAGACGAGGAGGAGGCUGCUCCUGCUGCUGCGGCGGCGCCCCCAGCUGCUGCCGAGGAAGAGGAGGAGCAGGAGGCUGCGGCCAUGGCUGCCAAGAAGCCACAGAAGAAGAAGAAAAAGAAGGGUGGGUUUACCGUGGACGAUGAGGACAUCGACAAGCUCCUGGCUGAGAUGGAGGAUCCUCCCCAACCCACACAGGAGGCCGAGGCUGAGCCUGAGCAGGCUAAAGGUGGGGAUUCUCUGGCCCCAGAUGCUGAUGAUGCCGGCGGAAAGAAAUCGAAGAAGAAGAAAAAGAAGGGAGGGUUUACUGUGGCUGAUGAGGACAUUGACAAGCUCCUUGCAGAGAUUGAAGACCGGCCUGCUGCCGCUGAGGAGCCUGAGCCCAAGGCUGCCAAGGUCGAGGAUACUGUUGCUGCUGCUGCGACCAGUGUGGAUGAUGCUGAAGGGAAGAAAUCAAAGAAGAAAAAGAAGAAGAGCGGUAGGACAGCACAGGAAGAGGAGGAUCUGGACAAACUUCUUGCUGAGCUCGGUGAAGGACCGGCACCGGCACCGGAGAAGGAGAAACCAUCCCAGGCACUGCCUUCCGCUUCAGCAGUGAAGGAGGACGCUGAAACUGCGGAGGAUGGUAAUGCAGAGCAGAAGGCCGGGGAAGGAGAGGUAGAGUCCGCUGCAGCCAAGAAGAAAAAGAAGAAGAAAGAAAAAGAGAAGGAGAAGAAGGCAGCAGCAAAGGGGACAGAGGCUAAGAAGGAGGAGGAAAAGGAGCCAGAGGCGCCUAAAGGCAAGGUUGACAUGAAGAAGCUCCCAAAGCAUGUCCGGGAGAUGCAGGAGGCUCUUGCGAAGAGGCAGGAAGCCGAGGAGCGGAGGAAGAAAGAGGAGGAGGAACGUUUGAGGAAAGAGGAAGAGGAGCGCUUGAGGAAAGAGGAGGAGGAGAAGAAGGCAGAGGAAGCAAAGAGGAGGAAGAAGGAGAGGGAAAAGGAGAAGCUGCUCAAGAAGAAGCAGGAGGGUAAGCUUUUAACAGGGAAGCAGAAGGAGGAGGCCAAGCGGUUAGAAGCCAUGAGGAGACAAUUCCUUGGUGAGAGUGAAGUUCCAGUAGCUGAUGGGGCUGCCCCUGAGAUUAAGAAGAGGCCAAAGUAUGAUAGCAAGAAGAAAAAAGCUCAAACAAAGGCUUCAGAGGCUCAGAAGGCAGCUGAAGAACAACAGCAAGAGGUAAAUGAAGCCAACAUUGACGAGGAAGAGUAUGUCAUAGUGGACCAGGAAUCUCAGUCUCAGGUGGCAGAAUCUGAGACGAAAACAGAACCCGACCAAGAGGUGGAAGAGGCAAAACAAGAAGAGGAGGAGGAAGAUGAAGAUGACUGGGAUGCAAAGAGCUGGGAUGAUAUCGAUGUGGGUUUGUCGAAGACAAGUGCUUUCGAGGAGGAAGAGGAGAAGGAGGACAAGCCUGUUGCCACGAAGCAGGAAACUUCUAAACCGCAACCUGCAGCGCCUGCUGUAAAAAAUGUUGCUCCGCCUGUUGACAACUCUAAAAAGAGUGAAACUGAAAAUGUGCGUGCCAACAAUGGAAUUGCUAAAAAGAAAGGGAAGAAAGGAUCUUCUAAAGACGAUGAUGCUGACAAUGCUAGUGACCUCCGUUCACCAAUCUGUUGCAUCCUUGGUCAUGUCGAUACUGGAAAGACAAAGCUGCUGGACUGUAUUAGACGAACUAAUGUGCAAGAAGGAGAAGCUGGCGGUAUUACUCAACAGAUUGGAGCUACGUACUUCCCAACUGAGAACAUUAGAGAGAGAACAAGGGAAUUGAAGGCUGAUGCUACUCUCAAGGUUCCAGGCCUGCUUGUUAUUGAUACUCCUGGCCACGAGUCCUUCAGUAAUCUGCGCUCAAGAGGUUCAAGUUUGUGCGACAUUGCUAUUUUGGUUGUCGACAUUAUGCAUGGGCUUGAACCCCAGACAAUCGAAUCCCUGAAUCUCUUGAAAAGUCGAGAUGCAGUAUUUAUCGUUGCUUUGAACAAGGUUGAUCGCCUUUAUGGUUGGAAGACCUGCCCGAAUGCUCCUAUCGGGAAAGCCUUAAGACAACAAAAUGAUGAUGUCAAGUUGGAGUUCAAUACGAGGCUUACUGAUAUUGUGACACAAUUCAAGAUGCAAGGUGUGAAUACUGCUUUGUAUUACAAGAACAAAGAGAUGGAAGAUACAUUUAACAUUGUGCCUACCAGUGCAGUAAGCGGUGAAGGCAUUCCUGAUCUGCUUCUACUAUUGGUGCAAUGGGCACAAAAGACGAUGGAAGAAAAGCUUACUUUUGUUGAUGAAGUCCAGUGUACUGUCCUGGAAGUCAAGGUCAUUGAAGGUCAUGGCACUACAGUUGAUGUUGUGCUGGUCAAUGGUAUGCUCCAUGAAGGAGAUCAAAUAGUCGUGUGUGGCAUGCAGGGACCCAUUGUGACAACCAUCAGAGCUUUGUUAACACCACACCCGAUGAAGGAGCUUCGAGUUAAGGGCACCUAUCUUCACCAUAAGAAGAUCAGAGCUGCACAAGGAAUUAAAAUAUCAGCGCAGGGUCUCGAACAUGCAAUUGCUGGGACUGCGCUAUAUGCUGUACGACCUGAUGCGGAUAUAGAGGACCUGAAGGAUGCUGUAAUGGAAGAGAUGUCGAGGGUUAGGAACCGGAUUGAUAAGAGUGGCGAGGGUGUAUAUGUGCAAGCAUCUACGCUGGGGUCAUUGGAGGCUCUCACGGAGUUCUUGAAGAGCCCUGCUGUGAAUAUCCCCUUCUGUGAUUUCAGCAUAGGGCCAGUGCACAAGAAAGAUGUUAUGAAGGCCAGUGUUAUGCUUGAGAGGAAGAAGGAAUAUGCAACUAUCUUGGCUUUUGAUGUCAAAGUGAUGCCUGAUGCCCGUGAUCUUGCAGAAGAGUCUGGUGUGAAGAUCUUCGUGGCAGAUAUCAUAUACCACCUUUUCGACCAAUUUACAGCAUACAUUAAGAACAUAAGGGAAGAGAAGAAGAAGGACAGCGCUGAAGAGGCUGUUUUCCCCUGUGUUCUCAAGAUCAUGCCGAACUGUGUCUUCAACAAGAAGGAUCCAAUCGUUUUGGGUGUCGAUAUCCUUGAAGGAAUAGCCAAGGUGGGAACGCCUCUGUGCAUACCCUCGAAAGAAUUUAUUGAUAUUGGGAAGAUUGCCUCCAUUGAAAUUAAUCACAAGCAAGUUGAUACAGCCACAAAAGGGCAAAAGGUGGCUAUAAAGAUCAUUGGGAGCAACUCUGAUGAGCAGCAGAAGAGCUUCGGCAGGCACUUUGAGAUGGAAGAUGAGCUGGUCAGCCACAUCACAAGGCGAUCCAUCGACCUUCUUAAGGAGAACUACAGGGAUGACUUGACGAUGGAUGACUGGAAGCUUGUGAUGAAGCUCAAGAAAAUACUGAGCAUACCGUGA